rnacentral:tRNA from 1 species
GGCUUGUUGGUCUAGUGGUAUGAUUCUUGCUUAGAGUGUGAGAGGUCCCGGGUUCAAAUCCCGGAUGAGCCC